AGACACAUAAGGUUCAGCACACCGACGACGGAAUCGACGACGAGCGGCGGUGGAAACGGCAGAGCAAGGACGACACAGCGAAUCCCAAACCUCAGUGCUGAAACAACGACGACAUCUCCGUCUCUGGACGCGCAAAGCUUGACCUUCUCCAAAUCGUGGCGCAUCAAGCGAAGCAACACCAAUUCGCAACUCAAAACCAUCGUCGAACCUACCUUCUUGCUUCACCAAUUUAAACAGUAAAAUCUAAAUGUGGAGGUUGAAUCGGAAAACUCACAAAAUAGGUAUCGCAUAUUUCCGCUCUGAUUUUCGCUCGAUCCUUCUUCUUGAGCUCUUCUGAGAGGGCUUUGCGUCAUUGUUGUUCGAUGCGGAAUGGAGAACGUGAUUCGUUUCCGUACGGUGCAGGUUAUGGUUUGUUGAGGAUGGCACCGGUGCUUUGCACUUCCGUUGAGGACAGAUGAUGAAGGGCGAACUGUUCUUCUGGAGAAGGAUGCUAACCGGUGAGAACUCAGUUCCUGUUUUUGAUUCUUCCUUUCUCAAUCAGCUUCUUCUUCUCUCUCAGCUCUUUAACUUUCCAUUUUUCUGUCACGAGCUUUAUUAUGAGUUCGUUAGAUACUGUUGGAGCAGGGUGGUUAUGGAGUUAAAAGGUGGAUAGAUGAUUCGAAUUAGGUUGAAGGUGAAGGGAGUGAAGGAGUCAGAAAUGAGGUUGAAGGUGGAGGAAGGUUCGGUGAAUGGAGAUUACGGUUAUGGAUUCGCAGUGGUUGAAGGUUUGGCGACUAGAGAUUACGGUUAUGGAGGUUGUAAGAAGAAGAAGAAUCUGGAAGGGGUCUUGAGAGAGGUGAAGAUUUGUGAAUUUUAUAGAGUGAUGAGAGUGAGAUUAGAAGUUAGGAAGUUUGUUAGAUUUGUCAUUGGAUUGUAAAAUUAUGCAGGUUGUUAUUUAUGCAGUGAAUUUGUCAUUGAAAUGGAUUACAUCGCCGGCUUAAUUGGCUUGUGUGUACUAAUAAUAGAUAAGAAUAAGUUGUUCCAA